GUAGCCCGUUAACGUUACACCAUCACUGCUGUCGGGCCAAACUGCGGAUGCACAGAAAAUGCGAGAGUCAAAGGAGACAUCUACAACAGUCGGCGACGAGGCAUGCUGCUGUGGUGAUUUCGGGGACAGAGUUGGCUCGUCAGCUCCACAGAGAAAUCCAACGUGAUGUGGAAGAGCUGGUGGCUCAGGGCAACAUGAGGCCCCACCUAGGAGUGGUCUUAGUUGGGGACGACCCAGCCAGUCGUACAUAUGUUAAGAACAAGACCCGGGCAGCCAGCAUCCUGGGUAUUUCCAGUGAUACAGUGGUGCGACCUAGCUCCGUCUCCCAGGAGGAGUUGCUGGAGCUGAUUGACAAGAUGAACCGUGACUGGAGGGUCAGCGGCCUGUUGGUGCAGCUGCCACUUCCCGAGCACAUCAAUGAGCGGGCAGUGUGUAAUGCCAUCGCUCCAGAGAAGGAUGUGGAUGGUUUCCAUAUUGUGAAUAUUGGGAAGCUGUGUCUGGACCAGAGAUCCAUGGUGCCUGCCACGCCUGCAGCUGUCUGGGAGAUCAUCAAAAGAGCAGGUAUUGAGACAGUUGGGAAGAAUGUGCUGGUUGCUGGUCGCUCCAAAAACGUUGGAAUGCCCAUCGCAAUGUUGCUGCACACUGAUCGCAACCAUGAACGCCCUGGAGGUGAUGCCACAGUGACCAUUGCCCACAGAUGUACACCGAGGGAGCGGCUGAAGGAGCUCACCAGCCUGGCUGACAUCAUUAUUGCAGCUGCAGGUGUUCCCGGGCUGAUCACAGCAGAUAUGGUGAAAGAAGGCGCAGCAGUCAUCGAUGUGGGCAUUAAUCGCAUCCAGGACCCGAACACGGGGAAAGUGCGGCUCAUUGGUGAUGUGGACUUUGAGGGCAGAAGGAGUCGAGCCCAUAACAUCAGACGUCACACCAGCAGGAAAGAAGAUGUUUGCACAAAGACAGACGUACCUGGAGAAGGCCCUGCACUCAGCAGUGGCAGUGCUGCUUCUCCUGACCACAGCGGGACAAUCUGCAGUUGUGACUGACAACCUCCAGACCACAGCGACUCCUCUCCUGUCAAAUGCAUCUCUCGCCACAGAGCUCAACAACAGCAGUAUGGACGAACCUCUAGUGCUGCGCUCACACAGAUCCUGUGGAAGCGAACAUGAAAAUUACUGUGAAAAUGGUGGCGAGUGCAUGU